rnacentral:rRNA from 1 species
CCUACGGGUGGCUGCAGUGGGGAAUAUUGGACAAUGGGGGCAACCCUGAUCCAGCCAUGCCGCGUGUGUGAAGAAGGCCCUCGGGUUGUAAAGCACUUUCAGUGAGGAAGAACGCCUGGUGGUUAAUACCCAUCAGGAAAGACAUCACUCACAGAAGAAGCACCGGCUAACUCCGUGCCAGCAGCCGCGGUAAUACGGAGGGUGCGAGCGUUAAUCGGAAUUACUGGGCGUAAAGCGCGCGUAGGUGGCUUGAUAAGCCGGUUGUGAAAGCCCCGGGCUCAACCUGGGAACGGCAUCCGGAACUGUCAAGCUAGAGUGCAGGAGAGGAAGGUAGAAUUCCCGGUGUAGCGGGGAAAUGCGUAGAGAUCGGGAGGAAUACCAGUGGCGAAGGAGGCCUUCUGGACUGACUCUGACACUGAGGUGCGAAAGCGUGGGUAGCAAACAGGAUUAGAUAUCCUGGUAGGA